CCGAGCCGCCAUUGCCACCGCCACCCCCGCUGCCGAUGCCAACAGCGGCAAGUCGACGCCGCCGACGCCGCCGCUGUCGCUGUCGCUGUCACUGCCUUUGUACGACCCGGUGGAUCCCGUUCCUAUGUGCGCUGCGGAUCCAGCUGGCGUGCUGGCCCGCGCGUGCGCGGGGUCCUUGCCUGUGCGGGAGGUGCGGUAUUGCGGCCGUGGAGGUCUCAACUACGUGUUGAUGGUGCUAGAGGAAGGGCAGGGCCUGGGCCGGAGGGAGCUGGAGGAGCUGCAACCCGACUUGGGCGCCAUGCUCUCAGCAGCGGCGGCGGAAGAGGUGCACGGCGUCAUUGUGUGUGUGAGGACAGGUGAGGAAAUAGGGAAUGAGAAGGUGCCAGUAUGGUGGAGGCGGUGGUGCUGGUGGUGGUGGGUGGGCAGCGUUUGUUGGGCUGAGGAUGUGAGUGCAGGGCGAGGGAGGGAGAAACGCGAAAGGGGGGUUAAGGGGGUGAGUGGGCUAGCGGUGGUGCUGGUGGGUAUCAUUCAGAUUCAAGUUCCGCCCAACGGUGUUACAUCCUCAUAUAUACAUAUCGUACAUACAUAUGUGGGGCGAAUGCACCUGCGGUGCCGUCGCGCGAGGUCAGGGCUGGCUUCGGCCGUGCAGUAGCAUUCGCACUGCACCUGCGCCCCCGUAUUCCUACCACGCCCAUGCACCCGGUCACGCCCACACAUCCACACGCAUGUAGGGCCCGCCAGGGGAGGUGCGGCGCAGACGGAGGAGGGCGAGGAGGUGUGC
rnacentral:lncRNA from 1 species